AAAAAAGCCAAAGGCAAUGCUUCAACAACACUGAACGCACUUUCAUGGAAGUCCUGCCAUUUUAUGGCAGAGGAGCCUGAGGGGAACUUAGGUAAUGGCUUCUCUUUAGUUAAAGGAAAAGAAUUCUCUGGGCCCCUGGUUGCUGCCACAAAGAGAGACUUCAGAUCUCAAAGGUUGAUUUUACCGUGGCUUUGGAAACGUGAUCUGCAGGUUCUUAAUAGGAGAGUUUGAUUUACGAAAAGAUUCCAGUUUCCUGGAUAUCAACAAAGAAAUUGAAUGAAGGUAGCAAAAUGAUACAAGGAACCAUCCGCUAAUGCCAUGGCAUCCAUUGAAUCUCCCAUGGGCCAGAAAUCUGAAGACCCAUCCUAAGGUCUACUUGAAGAGGUACUCCUCUUGCUUUGGGGAAAUAGAAGCUGGACCUCCACUGCAACCCAGAGGGAGUCUUGCCAGAUUUCCACUCCUUUGGGUCACUCUUUGUUCCCCACCAGCACCCGGACAAUGCCCCGAGUUUCGAGGGACUCUUCUCCUUACCUGUGCUUUUAAGUGAGUAAGAAGUAAUAGUAAUGAUCAAUUAUUUCAAGAGUAAAAUCAUGAUCAUCAUAUAAAAUAAACAUGUUAAAGAUUUUAUUCAACUCAUUUCCUAAUUAGGAAGCCAGUAAGAUAUUACAACCAGCUCAAGGAGAAACCAAAGAGUGGACAUAAGUAUAAGUCCCCAAAAGUGCUGAAAUAGUUUGGCUUAAUAGAUGCAAAACAUGCUUUUUUUCAUGAGGCCUGGAGGGGAUCAAUGACCUCUCAACCAAACAAGGUUAAUCUGCAUGCCUAUGAAUAUGAAUUAUUUUUAUUGCUAUCAGUUACGUAUAAUUUACAGGGUUAUAAAAUCACUCAAAGACAGAGAAACUGUAGAGAUAAUCUGGAAAAGUGUCCUGUGAUGACAUCCUUUUACCUCCUUUGCUCAUUUCAAAGGCAUUCACCACUUUUCUGAUGCUCUUCCCUUAACAUCUUCGGUAGGGGUCCCCUUCCCGUGUCUGGUAGUUUGCGCUACUGGGAUUCCCAAAUAAGAUGUGUUCUGGGCUCCGGACCACCCAGGGAUCAUAGGGUUCUCUGUUGUAUCAAGAUUUCAUGGAUACCAGCCGCUGAGCCACACAGAUCCCUCAAAUCAGAUUUGCGCUGGAUGGGUCUUUCUUCUUCUGCCUUUUAACCACACACAAGAGUUACUGUGUACCUGAGGGGCCUUCGGACACUAAGAAAUAGGAUUUAAUCAUUAUUUGUAGUGACUGCAUGUGAGCCACCACUUUUUUAAUUCUCAAUUUGUGUAACAAAUUUGUCGUAGUCUCCUACGGGAGCCCAAAAAAUAGUUGUAGAUUUUUAAAUCUCUCCAACUGAAGUAAUUCCAGUGCUAAUAACUCUCAAAAUCUGGAUUCAAGCCAAAUUUAUGAGUCGAAAAAAAUGCCCCAGUCCUGAUGCUGUCAAGAAGGCUUCAGAGAUCACAUGGGAAGCUACAUAGUAGGAGGCAAGUGGUCUUUCUCCACAAGUGAGCUGUGGACUGUGAUUGGAGACCCUUGACCUUUUAGGGCCACUUACAUGAUUGCUCUUUUAAGAAAUAAUUUAAGGGGUUUUAUUAAUUCUAGUCUUGACCAAAGUCCUUUGAAGUUCAAAUAAUUCUCCCACUUGACAGGUGAAGCAACUAAGGCUUAGAGAAAUUUGCUCAAGGUCCCAUAACUACUAAGUAACCAUGCUCUGAUGCAUGGCUGAUAUAGCUCGACAUACUCAAUGCAUUCCAUCACUUUCUGCUGCCCCUCUAUAUCCCAGGUGUUUGUGCCAACAUUCUGCAAAUAUUCCUCUCAGCACCCACCAUGUGUAAGACAUUAUAUAGGAAACCCCAUUUAUCUGGCUAUCCGAGAAAGAAACUUCUACCGUAGCCUGAUUCUACCAUAAGCUCCCCAUGCACAUCCAGUUGUGUUCUCAGCUCUAUUUUGAUGUAUUUCUCCACUGCAUCCCUUCCACUCUCUACCCUCACACAUCACCAUAUUCAUCUCGUAUUCAUCUCCAUUAGCCGGAAUAACGCAAUGUUCUUGUCUGGCCUCCCUAAUACUAGCUUCUUCUCAUCUCUCUUUCCUACCCGUGGACCCUCAGUAAUACUGCUGAGCUGUGCAUGUCUCUCCCUUGCUUAAGAAAUCUCAGUGGUGGGGCACCUGGGUGGCUCAGUAGGUUAAGCCAUUGCCUUCGGCUCAGGUCAUGAUCUCAGGGUCCUGGGAUCAAGUUCCCGCAUCGGGCUCUCUGCUCAGCGGGGAGCCUGCUUCCCUCUCUCUCUCUGCCUGCCUCUCUGCCUACUUGUGAUCUCUCUCUGUCAAAUAAAUAAAUAAAAUCUUUUAAAAAAAAUAAAAGAAAGAAAGAAAUCUCAAUGGCUCCCCAGUGACUGCGGGAUAGGUGCAAACUCUUUAGGGUGGCCCAUCAAGGUGUUAAAAAUAUAUCAGCUCAUCUUUCUGGUCACUCUUCAUCUCAGCUACUGAUGAAUCUAUGACCUAGCCACAGCACAUUAGUGCUUAUUUCCAUGGCAUCUCAUCUCCUCAGGCCUCCAUGCUUUUCCCUCAUGCCAUUUUUUUGAAUUACAACAUCCUUCUCUAAUUCCAGGCCCAAUAUCUCCUCUUCUGUGAGACAGUCUCUGAUACCACACCAUUCUCCACGUACCAAGGAAAAUAAUUCUCUCAAUCAGGGUGCGUGUUCCUCUGUUAAAUCAUACACACAGGCCCAGGUUCUACAAUGGUCAUGCUUAUGUUUGUACCCCUGGCUAGACCCUGGUCUCCUCAGGGGAGUCAUUCCACACACCUUAGAAUUUGUGGCAUAAAGCACAGAGACUAGUGUGAGGAGACCCUUAAUCAAUAUGUUGUUGAAAAUCUAAAUUAAUAAACGAACACAUGUUGGACUUGAGGGUGCCAUUUUCAGACUCUUCACCACAUCCCGAUCACUUUAAGACAGAAGGAACAACAAAAACAAAUAACCAGAAAAACAAGAAAGGACAAUUCCAAAGCUUGUGUUCCAGAAAAGCUGUGUACCUCUGAACAUCCCCUUCAACCCCGGUGGUCAGAAAACGGAUUGCCACACUGGGAACCAGUUCUGUGCCAGAACCCGGACCCUUCCCAGCUGCCUUCCGUAAUGCCAUUUGGGCAGCUUGGAAUCCGCCACGAUGGGAGUAGUUUACAGCAUGGAAAUUGGCAAAUGGUGUGAACAAAGGUUGUGGGGAGGUGGGUCCUGUGUGCUGUUCCCGUUUAAAAUUGUACAAGUCACUGAUCGUUAGUGUAUUCACUGCUUUGUGCAACUAUCAAAAUAUCCAAUUUCAGAACAUUUUCAUCACUACCCCAGAAAACCAUACCCCUUAGCAAUCACUUUCCAUUUCCCUCUCCCCUAGAACCCGCAAUAUUUCUGUGUGUGUGUGUGUGUGUGUGUGUGUGUGUGUGUUUUGUUAAAGAACUCGUUGUUAAACACUUAUAAUACACCACUGUUGGGAAACCAUCUGUUCCUAUAAUAACUGUGACUUUUCUCUUUCUUGUUCAAUGCUUUGGUACUUCAAGUACCUAGAGGCCUCCUAAACCCCAAGGUUUCCAUAACAAAGAUUUAUAUACCUUUAAAGAGGAGUUAUUUUAGCUCUCGCUUAAUUCAAUUUAUCCGUCAUAGAAUGAGAUGAAAAAUAGUCAUACAUAGAGAAAAGAUCAGGAGCUAAUAAAUCUUUUAAAAGGCUAGAUCACUUUCUGCCGGAUUAGUAUAUGGGAUUUACUUGUGCAUGAGACAAUAGGCUCUUGUCUAUUUUUAGAUUAGAUAAUGCAUUUCCUAGGACCCACAGGAGGCCUUGGCUUCUCUUAUUACUGAGCACACAUGCAGAGACCAGAGGUUUUAUGAAAGGGAAUAAGAAAAAGACAAGGGGAAAGGAUUGGUGGUUUGCUCUUUUGAUCACUAAAGCAACUCCAUCAGGAAAGAGGAAAUACAAUGCCCGCGAAUUUCCUCCAAGAAGUUCACCACAAAUACAUAUGUGUCAAGAGACACAUAUGCCUUGUACACAUCCACAUGAGUGCACUUGCACCAUGAGAUCAUUUUUAAUGUCCUAAUGACCUGCUGCCCCCAGAACUGUCUCCCCAGAUGUGGGCUUCCAGAUACCAGCUGCAAAUUACUUAUCUAAUUAAAGCCUGCUGAUUGGACUUGUUUUUAAAUCUUCUGUAUUUGCAAGCAGGGAAUGCUGGGCUGUCUAGGGAAGAGUCUAAGCUUUGAACUGAAAGUGUGGCCCAUGGGCCAACAGCGACAGCAUUAUCUUGGAUAUUAUUAGAAAUGCAGAACCUCAGGCCCUAUCCAGAUUUAUUGAGAUCAAUUUUUAUUUUAUCAACAUCCCUGGUAGAUUCACGUAUGCAUUAAUGUUAAGAAGCACCAGAUGAAACAAGUGGUGGACCCUUGACUGGCAUGUGUUCUCACCUCACUGUCUUGAGUUUGUGUGAAGCAAGAACUUGCUGACCCUUCCUUGGCAUUCAUCCAAACGAUUGCUAACCAGGGCUUAGAUGUCUUGGGAAUCCCAUUCCAUUUCAAGCUUUAGUUUUGGAGCUGAAACAAAAGGCUUAUUUUCUGUGCAGAUUGGAACCCUACUGACUGCAGAAAGGUCAAUGGCCCAUCUUCAGGGAUCAAUGGAACAUUUUACUUAAAAUGAAGUUUUAGCAAGAGGAAACUAAUAUGCUCAUUACAGAAAAGCUAGAGAACUAUGGAAAAGCAAAUUUAUAUCACCUGACUUUCUACCUCUGAGUAUUAAGCACUUAGUAUUUUGGCACUUUUUUGUGUUACUUCCUGUUUCCAGCAGAAUUCUUUAUUUUACACAACUGGAAGAGUAAAGUAUAUGGAGUUUGCAUCUUGGUUGGGUUGUUUUUUUUUUUUCCCCCGCAUGUCAUGAUUAUUCUCUUAUUCCUAAAAAUUCUUCAACAAGAUGAUUUUAAUGAUCUUUUCUUCUUACGUCACUAAACCAUAUUUUGUUGAAGUAGUCUCAUAUUCUUGAGUAUUUUAAAUGUUUUCUAACCUUUAUAAAUGGCAUUAUGAUUAAGACUCUUAUGUAUAAAUCUUUUUCUGAUUCUUUUUUUUUGUUUGUUUAAGUAGGCCCCACACCCACUGUGGAGCUUGAUCAAGCACUACAGAGGACUUCGCUAUCCCUGGCACCCCAACAACAAUUUUUUUUUUCCAGUCAGGACACACCUCACAACCACUGCUCUUCAAAAAGCCAAAACCUCCGCUCCCACCCACCAAAAGAAAAAUAAAGGAUUU
ensembl:lincRNA uncharacterized LOC101682187